CAGCCAGUGUUUGUGCUGCUGCGGCUAGGAAAUGCUGCUAACGGAGACGGAGUCCGUUAGCAGUGAAGAGCUAAUUCAAACUAUUUACGCCUCGUGAAACGGCAUCGAUAAGGUGAAGGGUGAAAACUGUGGCGCCGUGGAUCUGCUGCCGGGUUGCUUAGCAGCAAACUGAAGGCGCCGUCUCCCCCUGCGCGGCGGCAGGCGUCGCCUCCUCUGGAAGAGAGCGGCGUGAUGAAGCGACUCGGGACCAGCUGUGCUGCUCAGCGUCGCUCUGCAUCUUCCCGGUCCUGGCUGACCCAUUUUCAGGAAACACCAAGGGAACAAACCAGAUGUGAACCUGCCUGGAGAGAUCAGCGGUGACAGGACGCCGUCAUUAUCCAGGAAGUCAAAAAUAACUCCAACGGCAUGAGAGGCUGAGGGAAGAGACCUCUGGGAGGAAGGAGGUGUUUUGGGCUAAUUGUGUUGCCGUCUCAUACGUGGCGCAUCAGCAUGGCCUCUGGGACUCGGUGCCAGUCCCAGUGGGCAGCUGGGGGACUGAAUGGGAACACUGGAGACUUUUACCCACAGAGGUGACGAGGAAGUGAACCGUCUGGAAAAAAAGCACGAGUCAAGUUUGUUACCUUACGUUGUUUGUGGCGUAUCAUCUUAUGUAAUUUCCGGAAAAUAAACAUUAAAUGUUAAUGAGGCCUGAGAAAUUGUUGCUCUCUGGACGAUAAAUCCCAUUUUUAAUUAUGAUGACACAUUCAGGCGGAAAGACUCCUGCAGCUGCCAAAGCCGGAGCGUGAAAACGUUCCUGGAAGAGCCGACAUGGAAGGUGAAAACGGAAAAAUAUGGCCGAAAGCCACAAGGACUCCCUCUGCACGUCUCCCAUCUGUUCGUAAAGUUACACAGUGAAAUAUUUACAUCAAUAAAUUUGGUUUAUUUAGUCAAAGAGAAAAAAACAACUGGGUGUUCAGUUGUCAGUCAUAUUAAUGCCAUAGUUACAAACGUAAUAUUAAAUUCACAAGCAAAAUAUUUAGAUUACUGUCUAAAUUUAUAACUCCAAAUGAAAUAUUUAGUAUAACUAAAUAUUUAUUUUUAUGUUUGACCUAAAAUGCUAACUUCAGCAACUUUAAUUAUAGCUACCAAGCUAAAAACCUAGUGACCAUGCUGGCCUGCUAUUAAAUAUUUUUGCUUGUUUGCUAAAUAUUUAGUUAGCAACAUAAA